rnacentral:misc_RNA from 1 species
AAACCUAUGGACCUGAAUGGGUUCCGUGUUGGGCCUCGCCUCUCCGAGGGGCGUCGCCUUGAAGGCAUCGGCUUUACAGAGCGGACGGGAUCCUUAUGGACUGACCGUUUCGUGGCCGGAGUUUGACUCUG